AGCGAACGCUGGCGGCAGGCCUAACACAUGCAAGUCGAACGAAGUCUUCGGACUUAGUGGCGGACGGGUGAGUAACACGUGGGAACGUGCCUUUAGGUUCGGAAUAACUCAGGGAAACUUGUGCUAAUACCGAAUGUGCCCUUCGGGGGAAAGUUUUAUUGCCUUUAGAGCGGCCCGCGUCUGAUUAGCUAGUUGGGUAGGUAAAGGCUGACCAAGGCUACGAUCAGUAGCUGGUCUGAGAGGAUGGACGGCCAAUUUGGGACUGAGACACGGGCCAAAUUCCUACGGUAGGCAGGAUUGGGGAAUCUUGCGCAAUGGGCGAAAGCCUGACGCAGCCAUGCCGCGUGGAUGAUGAAGGUCUUAGGAAUGUAAAUUCCUUUCACCGGUGAAGAUAAUGACUGUAGCCGGAGAAGAAGCCCCGGCUAACUACGUGCCAGCAGCCGCCGUAA
rnacentral:rRNA from 1 species